UACGUAGGGGCCUAGCGUUGUCCGGAUUUAUUGGGCGUAAAGAGCUCGUAGGCGGUCUGUCACGUCGGCUGUGAAAACCCGGGGCUCAACCCCGGGCCUGCAGUCGAUACGGGCAGACUAGAGUGCGGUAGGGGAGACUGGAAUUCCUGGUGUAGCGGUGAAAUGCGCAGAUAUCAGGAGGAACACCGGUGGCGAAGGCGGGUCUCUGGGCCGUAACUGACGCUGAGGAGCGAAAGCGUGGGGAGCGAACAGG
rnacentral:rRNA from 1 species